AACGAACGCUGGCGGCGUGCCUAACACAUGCAAGUCGAACGGAACGGCCGGUUCGGGGGUCCUAGGGUUGCGAACGGGUGGGUAACAUGUGCGUAACCUGCCCUUAACUUCGGGAUAACUUUAGGAAACUGGGGCUAAUACUGGAUACGAAUCAUUGAUGCAUGGUGGGGGUUGGAAAGCUUCGGCGGUUUUGGAUUGAGGUGAGGCUCAACCGCUUGUUGGAGGGGUAGUGGCUUACGAAGGCUAUGAAGGGUAGCCGGCCUGCGAGUGCGACCGGCCUCAGUGACACUGAGAUACGGCCCAGACUCCGACGGGUGGGAGCAGUGGGGAAGAUUACACAAGGAGCGUAGGCCUGAUGCAGCAACGCCGCGGGCGGGAGAACGAUCUUGGGGUUAUAAACCGCAUUCAGCAGUAGCCGAGCUUAUGAUGACGGUACCUGCAGAAGAAGCACCGGCUAACUACGUG
rnacentral:rRNA from 1 species